rnacentral:rRNA from 1 species
AUACGAAGGGGGCAAGCGUUGUUCGGAAUAACUGGGCGUAAAGCGCACGUAGGCGGAAUGUUAAGUUAGAGGUGAAAUCCCAGGGCUCAACCCUGGAACUGCCUUUAAUACUGGCAAUCUAGAGACCGAGAGAGGUGAGUGGAAUUCCGAGUGUAGGGGUGAAAUGCGUAGAUAUUCGGAGGAACACCAGUGGCGAAGGCGGCUCACUGGCUCGGUACUGACGCUGAGGUGCGAAAGCGUGGGGAGCAAACAGGAUUAGAAACCCUUGUAGUCC